rnacentral:lncRNA from 1 species
AAGAUGAAAAGCUCCCACUUGUAUAUCUAUCCAAUUUGUAGACCUCGGAGCUAACAUAAAAAAUAAAGACAAAACUCUAAGUAAUAAUUCCAAAAAGAACACCUAACAACUAAAUCAAAUUGACAAGGUAGAAAAACACUGUUGAUGGAAUCAACUAAAUAUAUAUCUUUAUUCCACUAAAAUAGAUUUGAGAAGGAAACAUGGAAAUGGAGAGAGGAGAGGCAUCAUCUCACCAUCUUAGACAACCUCAUACAUGAAAAAUGCAUAUUGCAUAAUUAAAUCAAAUUGACAUAAAAAUAAUAUCCUAAACAAUAUAAUUAAAAAAACUAAAAAGAAAACCUAUUUUUUCUCUCUCUUCCCA